rnacentral:sRNA from 1 species
GGCUGGUCCGAGGGCAGCACUGUUUGUGGCUCUGGAUCUCACGGCCGGUUUCAGAUCCGCUUGUUCCUGCUCUACCCACUCGGCAUCACCUGACUAGCCUCUA